rnacentral:ncRNA from 1 species
AUAGCAAACCCAUGGAAACAUGGCGACGCAAAGCUACAGGGCCUCGCAAAUAUGCGUGGUAGCCAGUUGCC